rnacentral:rRNA from 1 species
UACGUAGGGGGCUAGCGUUGUCCGGAAUCAUUGGGCGUAAAGCGCGCGUAGGCGGCCCGGAAAGUCGGAUGUGAAAACCUGGGGCUCAACCCCAGGCGUGCACCCGAUACGCCCGGGCUGGAGGCAGGUAGGGGAGAUCGGAAUUCCUGGUGUAGCGGUGAAAUGCGCAGAUAUCAGGAGGAACACCGGUGGCGAAGGCGGAGCCCUGGGCCUUGCCUGACGCUGAGGCGCGAAAGCUAGGGGAGCGAACAGG